AACGAACGCUGGCGGCAGGCCUAACACAUGCAAGUCGAACGCCCUAGCAAUAGGGAGUGGCAGACGGGUGAGUAACACGUGGGAACGUGCCUUUCGGUUCGGAAUAACCCAGGGAAACUUGGACUAAUACCGGAUACGUGCGAGAGCAGAAAGAUUUAUCGCCGAAAGAUCGGCCCGCGUCCGAUUAGCUAGUUGGUGAGGUAACGGCUCACCAAGGCGACGAUCGGUAGCCGGUCUGAGAGGAUGAUCAGCCACACUGGGACUGAGACACGGCCCAGACUCCUACGGGAGGCAGCAGUGGGGAAUCUUGCGCAAUGGGCGAAAGCCUGACGCAGCGACGCCGCGUGA
rnacentral:rRNA from 1 species